GUGCAUUGCUGUUGCAUUGCA
rnacentral:miRNA from 5 species